UUCCGAUUCUGUGUCUCCCUCUCUCUGACCCUCCCCCGUUCAUGCUCUGUCUCUCUCUGUCUCAAAAAUAAAUAGACGUUAAAAAAAAAUUUUUUUAAAUAAAGUGUUCAGUACUCAGUAUAAAGCAUUUUUGUGAAAUGUGCAAAAUAAAGUUGCGGUGAUUUUCAAACUCGGGCUUCCCGUGAUCGUUUGAGCUACUGGGAGAAUAGACGCACGGAGAAUACGGGACUCAGACCAUUGCAGUGGUGCAAUUUGGCAUUUAGUGCUCCUUCGGAAGGUAUUUAUUGAGCAUCCAGGUGUGCCGGGCACUGUUGGAGGAGCUGGAGAAGAAGGGAUAAGAAGGACGGACACGGUGCCCAGUCUCACAGAGCUUGGUCAGAGGAACUGGACGGUAAGAUCUAAACAAAUAAUCUCAGGCGAGCAAUGCUGUGGAAAAGGUAAACAGCAUUUUCUGUUGCUGCUGGUAACAAAUGAUCACACACUUUGUGCCCUGGGACAAGGCAGAUUUAUGGUCUUACAGUCCUGGAAGUCAGAAGUCUAAAAUCAAGGUGUCGGUGUUCCUUCCGGAGGCUCUGGGGAGAAUCUGUUUCCUUCCCUUUUUCUCUUCCCCGGACUGGGUGCAUUCCUUAGCUCCGGGCCCCUUUCCAGAAGCAUCCCUACCCUGGCUUGGGUCAUCUGUUUUAAUCACCUUGCCGUCCCCACCCCAGUGGUGAGGGAGGGGGUUCCUGCCCCAGGGAUGGCGGGGGAGGACGACACUGGACAGACGAGACCAACAGCAGGCUCUCCGCCUCAUUCACUCGAAGUCAGAGGGAGGGGGUCGCUGCAGGCCACGCAGGGGCCCCACGAGGGUCACACUCAGGACCAGAGUGAACAAACAGGGCUGUGAGAGGCGGGCUCUAUAGCAGCAAGAGGGUGAGGUGGUCCGGGUCCCACGGGAGGGUGUGACGGGCUUGUCUGGAGAAUUCCACGAGCCGGGCGGGAACUGGAACCCCGCGCUCAGGGGUCAGCAGGCCCUGAGCUUCUGUGUGACGAGGAGGGGUGUUUGGCCGGGGGACCUUCUCCACAGGAGCCGAGGGGGGAGAGGAACCUGCGAGGAGACCACUGACAGCCUCCAACGGCACCCGGGGUCAGGGCAGCACAGGAUACUGAUUCUUUUUUUUAUGUCUUACACAGCAUUGUCAUAUUUCCUACUAUGGGCAGGACGUGGAUGAAGCAAAAUUUCAUCCCUUGUUUGACUCCAGAGCUGAUGCUCUAACCACCAGGCCACACAGCCUCUCCAGCACUGGGGGUUGUGGCGGCCUGUGUGCAAAGAUGGCCGCCAAGGACUCACAUCUGCCAGCUCACUUGUUCUGGCCACAUGCGCUCCCACACUGAGUCUGAGUUGGCCCUAAGCCUCAGUUUCACCAAGAGAACGUGGUGACAGGGACGCCACCCUCGUUCUGAAGGGGCCUAAGAGGGCCUGGCAGCUUCCCCUCGUGUCACCUUGGCAGCGAGCUGCUGUGUAGAGUCCAACUACUUCCUGUGGAGCGAGUCCACACAGAGAGGCCCUGGGGCAUGAGACCCCUCUUCGGGGGGCAAAGGCCACAGGAAGGACCACCAAGUUCUCGGCCAUGCAAGCAAAGAAGCCACCAUGGAGUGUUCUGGCAAAAUAGAGCUCCCAGAAGCUGUAGCCCCAGCCCACCUCACGAGGUGGAGAAAAUGGCGGCUGAAGCUAGUCGGUCCACAGCGUAAGGGGGGGCAGUGUGAGAGAACACGGUCGUGGCUGUUGAAGCCACUUUUGGGGUGAUUUGUUACUCCAACAGAUGAUUAACACCCUGGUUUAAAUCUUGUCUUGCCUAAAUCCGCUCCAUUAGCAAAGCAUCAACUCUUCAAACAAGUGCUGUGGUGAAGAAAAUGACCCCAGUCUCUCUGUGUGUGGGAACACUAGGAUACAGAGCCUCCCCCAACACUGUUGAGCAGGCCGUGUCCGUGUGGCUGGUGGGACCUCAGGCGAAGCAGAUGACAAAAAUAUCUUACAGGAGGUGUUUUCUUAACGGAGACCAUGCAUCCACCACGGAAACUCCAGCCUGGUUUCCCACAGAGCGCACAAGCAGGGGAGAGGGGCAGAGAGAGAAUCCCAAGCAUGUUGUGUGGCACAGCACCUGAUUUGGGACUUGAUCCCGCGGCCCUGGGAUCAUGAUCUGAGCCAAAAUCAAGAGUCAGAUGCUCCACCCACUGAGCCACCCAGGCAUCCUAGCGACAUCUUUUUUUUUUUUUUUUAAAUACUCUAACGAACUCCCCGCCCUGCCCCGCCCCCGUCCCCAGACUCCUCUGUCCUGUCUCACGAAGCAACUCCAUAUACUUGGGAAUUUCCAGCAACUUGGAAGUGGGAAUUGCACGUCCUGACAGGUGGCAGUGACUGGAACAGACACCCCAAGCCAGGUCCUUCUUGGGGAUCUUGUCCGAGCCCUCCCGAGAUGGAUUAGCCAGUGAGAGUUUUGGCACCCACUUGACUGCACCUUUUUCAGGCGAAGUGAGGGAUGGAGAAGUCUGCACGGUGAUGCUCCGCGACCCUCAGGACGCAUGGUCAGAGCAUGAACAGGAAGACACUGCACAUCGCUCCGGAGGAUGGUGGUGUCGCUUGGAGAACGUCUGUGUGCGACCCCGAUGUCAAAGCAUCCUGCCAGGCCAAGAGUGCCUGAGGAAUGUUACACAGAUCCCACCUCGGGGUGGAAGGGUGUCACGACGCGUCAACCUGCCUUAUGCUCCUACCCCGUCAUCACAACGGUGAGAUCAUGACCUGAGCUGAAAUCAAGAGUCACCUGCUCAAACGACUGAGCCACCCAGGUGCCCCAAAGCAGCGAAUUUUAGGGAACACUAAUGUUAUCCUACCUUUUGGAAAAGUAGGAAGUUAUGACUUGAAGCCGGGCACCUGGGCUAAGCUCCCAGAGAAACCGGCACACCGGCCACCGGCCACCUCAGUGUUCGUGUUUCAAAGAGGUGGCUCCAAGGCCCCCGAGAGAGACAUUCCUGAGAAGCAAAACUGCUCUUCCGGCCUUCCGAGGUCUUUUUACAGACGCCUCCCUGUCAUGGAACAAAGGUUUAUUAACACACAAGUAAUGAGCGUCAGCUCAAUUAAUUUUCGUAAAGUGAACAUAUCCACGGAACCACCAGCUAGAGCAAGAAAGAAGAUGUUAAUUACACUCCCGAAGCCCCUCACGUGACAUCAUCUGGUCACCAUCUGCCGAACUUCCCGAAGAAAAACUUCCUAACUUCUCAUGCCGUAGUCUCCAGCCUAAGAAUCCUAUAUUCAAGAAAUCUUAGAAGUUGUAGGCUUGUCUGGCUUCUUUUGCUCAACUUCCUGUGAGAGAGAUUCAUCUGUCUUUUCUUGUGGAUCCCACAUUGCAUUCAGUUGUCAUGUGGCUUUAGGCCCUAGGCCCUUCAUGGCUGUGGGAGCUUCUCAGACAUUCCCUCUUGGGAUGCCCCUGAGAGUUUUGAGAAGGACUGCUCAGGUGCUCUGUGGGGUGCCCACCCACCCACUCCUGGGAUUUGUCUGAUGUUUCUCUUGUGAUAUGACGGGGAGGAAGACCACAGAGGUCAAGCGCUAUUUUCACCACAUCGUGGCAAGCAUGCGUCCUGGUCAACAUGAUUUACGACUGUUGGUGGCCCCGUUCACCCGGCCGAGGCUGCGUUUGUCAUGUGUCUCCAGUGGAAAGUUAGUUUUUCUCCCUCCCUUUCUAUACUGUGCAGUUUGGGAGGAAGUCACUCACAGGAUGGGGAGUUUGACUCCCUCUCCUCGGAGGCACCGUAACUACAUGAAUUCUUUGGAAUCCUUCUGCGUGGGAGAUUGGUGUUUUCCUCAUUUAUCAAUUUAUUCAGUCCUUUAUUUAUAUCAGUAUGGCCUUGUGGAUAUUUACUUGAUGAUUUUGCAGCUCAGAAGUUCAGCUUUGACCAUCGCGAACCCUCUCAGUUGGCUCCUGUGGUCUUUUGACCCCCCUCGAUGUUCUGUUUUGAGCAUUUCCUUACCUUCCGGGAAUACCAGGUCCUCCGGGCUCGGCUCAUACAUUUCCUGCCCCAGUUCUAGAAACAGCCAUUUCUCCAAAGAGCCCUGUUCCUUUGCCAGAGAAUAAUAUUAGGGUCUGGGUGCUGAGAUGUGCUUACUGUUACCCGGAUGUCCUCUCUUGUGGAGCCCUCUGAGGACAGAGCAGAAAGUAUGCAUGUUUAGACUACGCUAUGUACAUGUGCUGACCUACAAACACUCGCAUAUGUAACCAUCUCUACCUGUAUUCAGCUAACCAUGAGUUCAUACUGGCAUCUCCGACUCAAAUCCAUUACCACAUGGAUAAUUCUGGCUUUCCUCCCCUUGCUGAUCUAUGAACUCCAAGCCCAAUUCUGAGAAACCCACGUGUUGAUUUUAAAAAACCAGUUUCGGAACUUUCUCGAUCCCCCGUGUCUCCGAAUAUCGCCUCUGCUCCAUUCACUUGCUUCUGUAUUUCUAGGACUGCAGCUGCACUCUGUUGAUCCUUUUUCUUGCUCCUUGUUUUUUGUAUUUCCCAUAAUUUUUUCCUCUUGUGCGUCACUCUAUGUGUUUUUAAACUGACUUUUCUAAUUCGUUAAUCUUUUCUUUGGCUGUGCCUAAUCUGCUAGUAAAUCCAGCCACUGAUGUGAUCCUUUUUAUAGACUCUAGCUUUCUUCGGAACUUCUGUUUACUCAUGAAUUAACUUUGGAAAUUUAUGGGUUUUUUUCUCAAAAAAAAAAGUAUAUUUCAUCCAAAUAUUCAAAUUGUAUUUCUUGAGGGGCUUUUCAUUUGGUCUGUCUAUUCUAUUUUCCUGUCUUCUUUUUUUAAAUUUAUGUUCUUAGUUGAAAAUUUAAUUUAUUCUGUUUCCUUUAGUUUAUCUUACAGUUCUUUUGCUUUUUGGGUUAAAUUUGUUUUCUAUCAUUGUUUCUUUUUAAAAAUGUAUUUAAUGCUAUAAAUUUACCUCUAAGAACCACUUUUGAACCCAGAGGAUUUCAUAUGUAAUAUUUCCUAUGUCCUUUGAGAUCUUUUUAUUUUUACAAUGUUUUCUGCUUUAACCAAUGUGUUAAGUAAACAUGAAUUAAUUUUUAGUUUCCAGAUAUAUAAAUGUUCAUUGACUAUAUAUUUAUCAUUAAUUUAUAGCUUAAAAAAUUUUUUUUAAAACAUUUAUUCAUCUUUGAGAGACAGAGACAGAGCAUGA